rnacentral:rRNA from 1 species
CUUCCGGUUGAUCCCGCCGGACCCGACUGCUAUCAGAGUGGGACUAAGCCAUGCGAGUCAACAUAGCAAUAUGUGGCAUACGGCUCAGUAACACGUAGUCAACAUGCCCAGGGGACGUGGAUAACCUCGGGAAACUGAGGAUAAACCGCGAUAGGUCAUCACUUCUGGAAUGGGUAAUGACUUAAAUCUAUAUGGCCCCUGGAUUGGACUGCGGCCGAUCAGGCUGUUGGUGAGGUAAUGGCCCACCAAACCUGUAACCGGUACGGGCUCUGAGAGGAGGAGCCCGGAGAUGGGCACUGAGACAAGGGCCCAGGCCCUAUGGGGCGCAGCAGGCGCGAAACCUCUGCAACAGGCGAAAGCUUGACAGGGUUACUCUGAGUGAUUUCCGUUAAGGAGGUCUUUUGGCACCUCUAAAAAUGGUGCAGAAUAAGGGGUGGGCAAGUCUGGUGUCAGCCGCCGCGGUAAUACCAGCACCCCGAGUGGUCGGGACGUUUAUUGGGCCUAAAGCAUCCGUAGCCGGUUCUACAAGUCUUCCGUUAAAUCCACCUGCUUAACAGAUGGGCUGCGGAAGAUACUAUAGAGCUAGGAGGCGGGAGAGGCAAGCGGUACUCGAUGGGUAGGGGUAAAAUCCGUUGAUCCAUUGAAGACCACCAGUGGCGAAGGCGGCUUGCCAGAACGCGCUCGACGGUGAGGGAUGAAAGCUGGGGGAGCAAACCGGAUUAGAUACCCGGGUAGUCCCAGCUGUAAACGAUGCAGACUCGGUGAUGAGUUGGCUUAUUGCUAACUCAGUGCCGCAGGGAAGCCGUUAAGUUUAACGCCUGGGGAGUACGGUCGCAAGACUGAAACUAAAGGAAUUGGCGGGGGAGCA